rnacentral:rRNA from 1 species
UACAGAGGUCUCAAGCGUUGUUCGGAUUCAUUGGGCGUAAAGGGGGUGUAGGUGGCGCCGUAAGUCGGGUGUGAAAUUUCGGAGCUUAACUCCGAAACUGCAUUCGAUACUGCCGUGCUUGAGGACUGGAGAGGAGACUGGAAUUUACGGUGUAGCGGUGAAACGCGUAGAUAUCGUAAGGAAGACCAGUGGCGAAGGCGGGUCUCUGGACAGUUCCUGACGCUGAGGCACGAAGGUCAGGGGAGCAAACGGG